GAUGAACGCUGGCGGCGUGCCUAAUACAUGCCAGUCGAGCGAACAGACGAGGAGCUUGCUCCUCUGACGUUAGCGGCAGACGGGUGAGUAACACGUGGAUAACCUACCUAUAAGACUGGGAUAACUUCGGGAAACCGGAGCUAAUACCGGAUAAUAUAUUGAACCGCAUGGUUCAAUAGUGAAAGACGGUUUUGCUGUCACUUAUAGAUGGAUCCGCGCCGCAUUAGCUAGUUGGUAAGGUAACGGCUUACCAAGGCAACGAUGCGUAGCCGACCUGAGAGGGUGAUCGGCCACCCUGGAACUGAGACAAGGUCCAGACUCCUGCGGGAGGCAGCAGUAGGGAAUCUUCCGCAAUGGGCGAAAGCCUGACGGAGCAACGCCGCGUGAGUGAUGAAGGUCUUCGGAUCGUAAAACUCUGUUAUUGGGGAAGAACAAAUGUGUAAGUAACUAUGCACGUCUUGACGGUACCUAAUCAGAAAGCCACGGCUAACUACGUG
rnacentral:rRNA from 1 species